rnacentral:rRNA from 1 species
AACAAACGCUGGCGGCGUGCCUAACACAUGCAAGUCGUGCGAGAAAGUUUCCUUCGGGAGACGAGUAAAGCGGCGAAAGGGUGAGUAACACGUGGGUAACCUACCACCGGAACUGGGAUAACUUGCCGAAAGGCGGGCUAAUACCAGGUACGACCACACGGACUACUGUCCGAGCGGUAAAACGAUGGCCUCUCGACGAAGCUAUCGUCCGGAGAUGGGCCCGCGGCCUAUUAGCUAGUUGGUGGGGUAAUGGCCUACCAAGGCGAUGAUGGGUAGCCGGCCUGGGAGGGCGACCGGCCACACUGGGACUGAGACACGGCCCAGACUCCUACGGGAGGCAGCAGUGGGGAAUAUUGCGCAAUGGGCGAAAGCCUGACGCAGCGACGCAGCGUGAGGGACGACGGCCUUCGGGUUGUAAACCUCUUUCAGCAGGGACGAAGCGAAAGUGACGGUACCCGCAGAAGAAGCACCGGCUAACUACGUGCCAGCAGCCGCCGUAACAC